GAUGAACGCUGGCGGCGUGCCUAAUACAUGCAAGUCGAGCGAACGGACGAGAAGCUUGCUUCUCUGAUGUUAGCGGCGGACGGGUGAGUAACACGUGGAUAACCUACCUAUAAGGCUGGGAUAACUUCGGGAAACCGGAGCUAAUACCGGAUAAUAUUUUGAACCGCAUGGUUCAAAAGUGAAAGACGGUCUUGCUGUCACUUAUAGAUGGAUCCGCGCUGCAUUAGCUAGUUGGUAAGGUAACGGCUUACCAAGGCAACGAUGCAUAGCCGACCUGAGAGGGUGAUCGGCCACACUGGAACUGAGACACGGUCCAGACUCCUACGGGAGGCGGCAGUAGGGAAUCUUCCGCAAUGGGCGAAAGCCUGACGGAGCAACGCCGCGUGAGUGAUGAAGGUCUUCGGAUCGUAAAACUCUGUUAUUAGGGAAGAACAUAUGUGUAAGUAACUGUGCGCAUCUUGACGGUACCUAAUCAGAAAGCCACGGCUAACUACGUG
rnacentral:rRNA from 1 species